rnacentral:misc_RNA from 1 species
ACGGUCCUUUAGGUUUACUUAGAGGACAGUGGCAAAUUGCCGAGUAACACAAAAGAUAACCUGCCCUAUAGUGGGGGACAACUCCGAGAAAUCGGAGCUAAUACCGCAUAAUAUCUUUUCAUGUUUUGGGAAGAUGAAAGCCUUCGGGCGCUGAAGGAGGGGCCUUUGUCCUAUCAGGUAGUUGGUGGGGUAAUGGCCUACCAAGCCUAAGACGGGUAGCUGGUCUGAGAGGAUGGCCAGCCACACUGGAACUGAAACACGGUCCAGACUCCUACGGGAGGCAGCGGUGGG